rnacentral:rRNA from 1 species
GACGAACGCUGGCGGCGUGCUUAACACAUGCAAGUCGAACGGAAAGGCCCUGCUUUUGUGGGGUGCUCGAGUGGCGAACGGGUGAGUAACACGUGAGUAACCUGCCCUUGACUUUGGGAUAACUUCAGGAAACUGGGGCUAAUACCGGAUAGUAGCUCCUGCUGCAUGGUGGGGGUUGGAAAGUUUCGGCGGUUGGGGAUGGACUCGCGGCUUAUCAGCUUGUGGGUGGGGUAGUGGCUUACCAAGGCUUUGACGGGUAGCCGGCCUGAGAGGGUGACCGGCCACAUUGGGACUGAGAUACGGCCCAGACUCCUACGGGAGGCAGCAGUGGGGAAUAUUGCACAAUGGGCGGAAGCCUGAUGCAGCAACGCCGCGUGCGGGAUGACGGCCUUCGGGUUGUAAACCGCUUUCGCCUGUGACGAAGCGUGAGUGACGGUAAUGGGUAAAGAAGCACCGGCUAACUACGUG